GCCCGAGUGGCGGAACUGGCAGACGCGUCAGACUCAAAAUCUGAUAUCCUUUGGAUGUGGGGGUUCAAGUCCCUUCUCGGGCA
rnacentral:tRNA from 1 species